rnacentral:rRNA from 1 species
CCUACGGGAGGCAGCAGUGAGGAAUAUUGGUCAAUGGCCGGAAGGCUGAACCAGCCAAGCCGCGUGAAGGACGAAGGUGCUCAGCAUUGUAAACAUCUUUUGCCAAGGGACAAAAUCAGGCUCUAGAGCCUGACCGCGGGUACUUGAAGCAAAAGCAUAGGCCAACCCCGUUCCAUCAGCCCCGGCAAUACGGGGGAUGCGAGCGUUAUCGGGAUUGAUGGGGUUUAAAGGGUGCGUAGGCGUAUUGUUAAGUCAGCGGGAAAAGCCCGGGGCUCAACCCGGGAGAGCCGGUGAAACUGGCGAUCUUGAGUUGUCGAGAGGGAGGCGGAAUGCGCGGUGUAGCGGUGAAAUGCGUAGAGAUUGGGCAGAACUCCGAUGGCGAAGGCAGCAUACCGGCGGCGAUCUGACGCUGAGGCACGAAAGCGUGGGGAUCGAACAGGAUUAGAUACCCGAGUAGUC